rnacentral:rRNA from 1 species
GACGAACGCUGGCGGCGUGCUUAACACAUGCAAGUCGAACGGAAAGGCCCUGCUUUUGUGGGGUGCUCGAGUGGCGAACGGGUGAGUAACACGUGAGUAACCUGCCCUUGACUUUGGGAUAACUUCAGGAAACUGGGGCUAAUACCGGAUAGGAGCUCCUGCUGCACGGUGGGGGUUGGAAAGUUUCGGCGGUUGGGGAUGGACUCGCGGCUUAUCAGCUUGUUGGUGGGGUAGUGGCUUACCAAGGCUUUGACGGGUAGCCCGCCUGAGAGGGGGACCGGCCACAUUGGGACUGCGGUACGGCCCAGAAUCCUACGGGAGGCAGCAGUGGGGAAUAUUGCACAAUGGGCGGAAGCCUGAUGCAGCAACCCCCCGUGCGGGAUGACCGCCUUCGGGUUGUAAACCGCUUUCGCCUGUGACGAAGCCGGAGUGACGGUAAUGGGUAAAGAAGCACCGGCUAACUACGUG